GAUGAGAACGCAGCGAAAUGCGAUAAGUAAUGUGAAUUGCAGAAUUCAGUGAAUCAUCGAAUCUUUGAACGCACAUUGCGCCCGCCAGUAUUCUGGCGGGCAUGCCUGUUCGAGCGUCAUUUCAACCAUCAAGCCCCCGGCUUGUGUUGGGGACCUGCGGCUGCCGCAGGCCCUGAAAAGCAGUGGCGGGCUCGCUGUCACACCGAGCGUAGUAGCAUACAUCUCGCUCUGGGCGUGCUGCGGGUUCCGGCCGUUAAACCACCUUCAUAACCCAAGGUUGACCUCGGAUCAGGUAGGAAGACCCGCUGAACUUAAGCAUAUCAAUAAGCGGAA
rnacentral:misc_RNA from 1 species